rnacentral:rRNA from 1 species
GAUGAACGCUAGCUACAGGCUUAACACAUGCAAGUCGAGGGGCAGCAUGGUCUUAGCUUGCUAAGGCCGAUGGCGACCGGCGCACGGGUGAGUAACACGUAUCCAACCUGCCGUCUACUCUUGGACAGCCUUCUGAAAGGAAGAUUAAUACCCGAUGGUAUCUUAAGCACGCAUGAGAUUAAGAUUAAAGAUUUAUCGGUAAGCGAGUGGGGAUGCGUUCCAUUAGGCAGUUGGCGGGGUAACGGCCCACCAAACCUACGAUGGAUAGGGGUUCUGAGAGGAACGGUCCCCCACAUUGGAACUGAGACACGGUCCAA